AUGGGCACUAGGUGUGGGGGGUGUCGACUCCCUCCGUGCCGAAGCUAACGCAUUAAGUGCCCCGCCUGGGGAGUACGGCCGCAAGGCUAAAACUCAAAGGAAUUGACGGGGGCCCGCACAAGCAGCGGAGCAUGUGGUUUAAUUCGACGCAACGCGAAGAACCUUACCUGGGCUUGACAUGUUCCUGACCACCCUGGAAACAGGGUUUCCCUUCGGGGCAGGAUCACAGGUGGUGCAUGGCUGUCGUCAG
rnacentral:rRNA from 1 species